rnacentral:rRNA from 1 species
AGUAAGACUAGGAUUAGAUACCCUAUUAUAUUAAUUUUAAAAAAUAAUUAAUUAUUAAAUGUAAAGCAUUAAAAUUAUAAGAUAUGGCAGUUAUAUAAAAUUUUAGGGGAACUUGUAUAUUAAUUUGAUGAUCCACGAUAGGAAGUACUAAUAAAAUAUUAUAAAUUAUUUUUGUAUUGUUGUUUAAAAAUUUUGUAUAAAUAUUAUAAUUAAAAUUUUAUUAUAUUUAAAAAAAAUUCAAAUCAAAAUAAAGUAUUUAUUAGAUAAUAUGAGUUACAUUAAUAAAUAAUUUUUGAGUUAGAAGUUUUAAUAUUUUUAAUAAAAAGGAUUUAAAAGUAAAAUUAAUUGUUAUAUUAAUUUGAAUUUUUUUUUAUAUAAUGUACAAAUUGCCCGUCAAUUUCAAUAAAAUUUGAAAUAAGUCGUAACAAAGUAAGAAUAUUGGAAAAUGUUCUUAGAUAAA